CCCAGCAGUGAACUGCUGGGCUACUAUCAGAUGUCCCUUCGGGACA
rnacentral:sRNA from 12 species